CCUACGGGGUGCAGCAGUGAGGAAUAUUGGGCAAUGGGCGCGAGCCUGAACCAGCAAAGUCGCGUGAGGGAAGACGGUCCUAUGGAUUGUAAACCUCUUUUGUCGGGGAGCAAAAGACGCCACGCGUGGCGUUCCGAGAGUCCCCGAAGAAACAGCAUCGGCGAACUCCGAGCCAGCAGCCGCGGUAAUAAGGAGGAUGCGGACGUUAUCAGGGUUUAUUGGGUUUAAAGGGUGCGCAGGCGGAAGAGCAAGUCAGCGGUAAAAUUGAGAGGCUCAACCUCUUCGAGCCGUUGAAACUGGUUUUCUUGAGUGAGCGAGAAGUAUGCGGAAUGCGGGGUGUAGCGGUGAAAUGCAUAGAUAUCACGCAGAACUCCGAUGGCGAAGGCAGCAUACCGGCGCUCAACUGACGCUCAUGCACGAAAGUGUGGGUAUCGAACAGGAUUAGAUACCCGUGUAGUC
rnacentral:rRNA from 1 species